GGAGAUGGGUUCUCCUUUGAACCCUAAGUCACCAAAAAUCAACCAAGUUCAUGGGGCAAAUCAAGUCUAAAUGGAAAACCAAGCCGAAAUUAGUGAUCACCAAGCCUAGGGGAUCACAAGGCGACUCGAGCGAAAAGGCGGGUGAUAAAGCCGGGAGCGAUACGCGGCAUAAAGAGAAGAUCUAAGGUGAUGUUCGUCUCACUCCGGAUGCCGAUCAAGCAAGAAUUCAAGAACCGAACACACCUCUCAAUGAAGCUUCCGCAGUUGUAUUUGUUUUGUUUAUAAAAAAAAAAGAAAAAUGGAUUAUGUAAACACAAUCAACUAUGU